rnacentral:tRNA from 1 species
GCUGGCGUAGCUCACUUGGUAGAGCAGCUGACUUGUAAUCAGCAGGCAGUGGGUUCGAUUCCCGCCGCCAGCU